CCGUGAUUUUUAGCGUUAAAAAUUGCCAAAAUAAAUUUAUAUUAGGAAAGUCGAGGUCACUAUUCAACCAAAAAUAACUUAAAAUUUUAAAAUUUCCAUAAUUUUUCAAUUCCUAUAACGUGUUUUCCUGUCAAGUGUUGAGGGAUCCUUAGGCCAGUUUCAUUUGACUGUUGACAGACCGUGAAAAAAUUGAUGCAAAUUUUUAAGGUUUAAUUAUUAUUGAAAUUAAAGGAUAUAUUCAAUAUAUUUACUACAUUUCUCCCCGUACGAUAAAACUUCGAAGCUCUCAUCACAGUUGAACUUUUUUCCAUAAUCGGAAAGUUAGGUUAUUAUUGAAUUCUGAGAUAUAAAACACAGUUCUUGGACGUGAAUCUGUAUGAGAGAUCGGAUAUUAUAACUGAUAGUAUAUUUUGUCACUAAUAAUACUUAUUUUUUUCAGGCACAUAUCAAUUUAUCAGAUACAGAAAUGAAAAAAUCCUAGGAUGGCAAUUAUCAUCCCUCGGAGAGACUGUAUUUGGAAUGAAAAUCCUUCUUCAGGGGUAAAGUCCUGAAGCAGUUCGUUCUGGAGAGUUUCUAUUUGAAAUAUAUGAUCCAUUUGUCAAGUUUACAUAAUGUACUUCAGAUCAAAUUACAUGCAAACUCACAGAAUGAGAAACAUCUUUGAUCUUGGUGUAUGAACAUAAGAAUUUCUAGAUAACAAACGGUUCUUGGGGGCACAUAUAAAUUUAUCAGAUCAAGAAAUGUAUAAUAUCAUUUCUCGGACAGUGUUAUUUGGUAAAAAAGAGGUAGUUCAGAGUAAGUUUAUAAAGCAUAUCAUUCAGGAUAGUUUCUAUGUGAAGUAAAUGAUCUAUUUCGCUUUUUUUCAACUGAAUACAACAGAUUUCUGACAACUUCCAUGCAAUCGGGUAGUGUACGGAGAUGAUUUUCUUAGUCUAGAUCUAUGGAAAAAUGUUUUGAGAUAAGUUAUUCAUUUGGAAUGAUAUAAUGAUUAUUGAAACACAAUCUAUGAGUGAGUUUUUGCGUUAAAAUUCUAUAUUUAUAGACAUUUGUCAAGUUUUCUCAUUUAAGGUAAGAUUGUUACUCUUAUCGUAGAGAGAGGGACUCUGUAGGUUUUUGUUCAAAAUAAACUGAAUGAAAUGUUAUAAUA